UUAACUGCAAUGAUGCAUAUUCAUGUAUCUAUUUCGCAUCGAAAUCAUAUAAAUAUGCCCAUUCACACCCCAUAAAAUUCAGUCAUAACCACUCUCCCGAUAUUGAUAUUUCCAAAUAUUUUGAACAGAACCUAACACUAUAUUCGAAAAAAUGAAAACGACUAAAGGGGUGUUUAUCUGUUUUAUGCUUCUCUUCGUUUAUUGCUCAGCUUCACCAAUUAUUUACGAACAAUCUUCAACAGAAACGGGGAACAUUCCUGGUGAAAUGUCUACGAGUUCUCCAAGAUACAAAGACGAAAGUUUCUAUGGAAGUAAAGUAUUGGGUCGUAUAAGUUCAGCAGCACUGGCGUCUCUAGGUGGAUGAAUAGCAGAUUGCUUGAUAGGACUAUGAUUAUUUAUCAGUCAUAAUAUCUGGUCAAAAUAAUCGUGGAAUAACUAUGUUUUCUAUUGAUUCUCAAUGUAUAUGGAACAUAUUGAUAUAACGAAUGGAAUUAUUUGAAUAAAAUAUUCGAAAACAAUGUAA